rnacentral:rRNA from 1 species
UCAGGUGACUAUAGCAUCAGGGUUCCACCUCUUCCCAUUCCGAACAGAGAAGUUAAGCCUGAUCACGCCGAUGGUACUGCGUAACAGUGGGAGAGUAGGUAGUCGCCGUUUU